ACCAGAGAAACUCUGGGGACCGUAAGGUUACGGAAAGUGCAACAGAAAACAUUCCGCUUUUCAGUAUCCUUUACUGAGGAGACAGGCUGAAAAUUCUGGUUUUAGGAAUCAGAGUCAUUAAGGCAACUUAAUGUACAUGCAAACCCUAUCUGAAGCAAGGGAGGAGGUUUUUUCUGUUUCUGCAGAGUGCUUACCAAGCACACCUCUGAAAAACGCUUGAGGAACUUGGUGACAAGUUCCCUAGAUGAAUGAUUGCCCUUUGAAGGGGCCUCACGGCCUCUUCUUAG
rnacentral:RNase_P_RNA from 1 species